UUUACAUUUACAAUCCAAUUAUAUACAGUCUACAAAUGUUAUAUCAAACACCCAGAUGUAAUAACCUACUCGUAUUCGAUUGGCGCGGUUGUUGGAUGCAGUGUUAUCCAAAAACACUGCAAAAAACCUUGUUUGUUUUAGGUGACGACCGAAAAAGAUAAAGAAGACUACGAAGCAGAAAGGAAAUUUAGAAAAUCAGAAAACAGCCCCUUCUUCCCACUCAGUACAAGAAACGUGCGCCUCAUGUUGCUCUACGUGCCUUCGUAACGUAUAUUCACGAUAAGAAACGACAAACAGAUCUCUUUUGCUGUCAAUUUGGGAAAGUUUGACAGGGAAAAUGAACGAUUUGGUGGACCAGAAUUAUCACUUUGCUGGCAGUGACAGACGACAUUCCUAACUGGACAACAACAACUUUUAAGAGCCGGCCGACCUUACUUUGUUUAAAGACUCCAAGUUCGAGAGAACUGCGGAGAGCCGUACGACCUUGCUUUGUUUGAAGACUGCGAGUUCGUGAGAACUGCGAUAGUGUAGAAUGAGAAUGUGGGUAUUUCAUCGAAUUAAAUAAUGGGAUAUAUAGUUAAAUGGUGAAAGCGUCAGUUAAUCCUAAGAGCAAAGAGAAAAACUAUGAUUAUGAUUUUUCCUCUCGUUCAGCGUAUUAAAAUUUUAAUUGGAUGUAGUGCAUCAAUUCUUUCAUCUGGCACUCUUGAAGGCAGACUACACGUAGAUAUUAUUUUGACAGAUGUACUCCAUCUCUAUCUCUCUCUCAGUUUCCAUGUUUAACACGAGUAAUGUUUCAUCAAAAUCUGAGACAUUCGUAUCUCAAUAAGUAUGCACUUUGACCGCUUCGUGAGCAAACGGUAGGCGACGAUUUCGGGACAUUAAUGGAAAUGAAACAGAUGAACAUAAAGCGAAUUGUGCUUAAAAGAUAAUUGAAUUGAUUGCUCUAAUAAAGCAAAAUAAAUUACCUUGCAGCCAUCUUGACAUAUCCGUAUCUGGCGGGGCAAAGAAGAUGGUUCAGACCGCUGAUA